AGCAAUAUUGAUGGUAGCAAUCGACUUUUUACUACCAUAGUAGCAGUAGCUGUUGUUGUCACAGGCACCAUUAAUUAUCAUGAUCAUCGUGGGUCCUCUCCAGGAGGGCUGACCUCGGUGGUCUGCUAUAUGAAAGAGCUUCAGUAAUCAUGAUCCAUCAUGGGAAAAAGAAGUUAUCAGGCAAGAGGCUGUGAGGGGAACAAUUAUAUGGAUGGAAAACAUCUUCAUUAUCAAAGAAACAGACUUGGGAAGGGGAUGUGCUGGCAUCACACCUACAAAGACGAGCAGGGAGGGGAACAGGACGAGGUAGAGCUGAAGAAAUGGGGCUGCAGAAGUUGAAUUUGGCCCGAGUGGCCAGGCAGUCCCAGGCGCCAUUCACAGGUUGUGGACAAUUAGCAGAUGUUUCUUUUUCCAGUGUGGAAGCUGAGGAAUGGAACAAGAUGGCGGCAUGAGCAGAGACUUCUAAGAACCUGCUGAUUUUACAAAUAUGGCAGCUAUGCCUCAGCAAAUUAUAAGCAAUAAUGAAUUAGUUAAUUUUCUUCAGUGAAAACUGCUAUG